rnacentral:rRNA from 1 species
UACGAAGGGGGCUAGCGUUGUUCGGAAUCAUUGGGCGUAAAGGGCGCGUAGGCGGACUCUUAAGUCGGGGGUGAAAUCCUGUGGCUCAACCACAGAACGGCCUUCGAUACUGGGAGCCUGGAGUUCGAGAGAGGUUGGUGGAACUGCGAGUGUAGAGGUGAAAUUCGUAGAUAUUCGCAAGAACACCAGUGGCGAAGGCGGCCAACUGGCUCGAUACUGACGCUGAGGCGCGAAAGCAUGGGGAGCAAACAGG